rnacentral:tRNA from 1 species
GGAGAUGUGGCUCAACUGGUAGAGCGUUUGCCUAGCAUGCAGAAAUUCCUGGGUUUGAUCCCCAACACUGCA